GCACAAGCGGUGGAGCAUGUGGUUCAAUUCGACGCAACGCGCAGAACCUUACCAGCCCUUGACAUGGGACUCGCCGGGAGCAGAGACGCUCCCUUCGGUUCGGCCGGAGUCCGCACAGGUGCUGCAUGGCUGUCGUCAGCUCGUGUCGUGAGAUGUUGGGUUAAGUCCCGCAACGAGCGCAACCCUCGUCUCCAGUUGCCAUCAGGUUAUGCUGGGCACUUUGGAGAAACUGCCGGUGACAAGCCGGAGGAAGGUGGGGAUGACGUCAAGUCCUCAUGGCCCUUACGGGCUGGGCUACACACGUGCUACAAUGGCGGUGACAAUGGGAUGCGAUGGCGCGAGCCGGAGCCGAUCCUAAAAAACCGUCUCAGUUCGGAUUGCACUCUGCAACUCGAGUGCAUGAAGUUGGAAUCGCUAGUAAUCGAGGAUCAGCAUGCCUCGGUGAAUACGUUCCCGGGC
rnacentral:rRNA from 1 species